AGCAUUUAGCCUAGUCAGUUGUAUUCCAGAAGUUUAAAUCCUAUUGUUCAAGCUCUCCAGUUAGAUAAGGUAAUCGAACUGCAUUCCAAAACUGACAGAGUUGCACAAGGUUGUCUAAUGUGAGCUGGCAUAUAACAUUAAACUUACAUCCACUCCACCCUCCACGUCACUAAUCAGAGGUUUAUCCUGCUGAGAGCUCCGUGCAGGCAGAGACAGCAUUCUACAUUCUCCCCUAGGACUCAAGGUUUGAGGCUGAUUAUCAAAUAGGUCCUGUCCGCACUUGGAGAAUACAUUUUAUUACUGCUGUCAGUAAAGAUGUGAUACCCACAGAACACUAAUCAUGGACUGGCCUCACUAAGGAUUAUCCUUACGAGUACUUGGAGAUCAGUUCGUAUAGCACGGAAUGAGCAUGCCAGUUUAAAAACCAAAACAACCUCCUCCAUGAGUCAGUUGGUUCAUAAUAAAGGUAGUGCUUGUUACCACAUUAGCAAAUAGUUUCAGGUCUUUCUUCACUUCUUUUUUAAGCUGCUCUUGCCCCUGGCCUCGCCCCUGGCAAGCAGAGAGCUUGCUAGAGGAGUGUUCUUUGACAAUCGGCUAUUGUGCUAAAGCUUUCCACAGCCCAAUUCUCCUUCAGACUAACAAAGUCUACUUCUCCCGUAGCCUCUGUAAGUGGUUAUUUCAUUACAGCCACCUAAACCUUCAUGCUUUGGUGAGUCUUGGUAGGUGUUUCAUCAUGAGGCUUCACGAGGAACUAAACUGGAAUACCCCAAAACCCAACAAGCAAAGAAAAACCAUCGGGUCCGUUUGCUUCUUAGGAUCCUGUCUAGGCAUCUAGAAAAGUUUAUUUUAAAAACACUGCUUAAAACAAGCUUGUGGGUUAACCCUAAUGCUGGCCACUGAGAUGAGAGACUACAUUUUGUUCGUCAUGAGAAAGAGACCAGUGUGUUACAAGAGUUGUCUGCUGACUAUUUCUGUACUACUUCAUGAGAUAUGAGCCACAAGGAUACCAGGGAAGGGGUUGCAGGAGCCCACACAUGGUCCCACCCAGCAAAUGGUACAAGCAGAUAACUCACAGAAAUAACGACCAGGGAAAGGCUGGGGAAAGGGCAGGGGCAGAUAAACACCCAGCAGGGAAACCUUUCCUGCUGACAAAUGGUACAAGCAGAUAACUCACAGAAAUAACGACCAGGGAAAUGCUGGGGAAGGGGCAGGGGCAGAUAAACACCCAGCAGGGAAACCUUUCCUGCUGACAAAUGGUACAAGCAGAUAACUCACAGAAAUAACGACCAGGGAAAGGCUGGGGAAGGGGCAGGGGCAGAUAACAGUUUGCAAGGCAGGAUAUUUGCUUGCUUAAGCUUAAUAGGGCACAUAUUGCGUUAAUCAUAAGAUCUUGGUAAUUUUCCACAGAGAAGUCACCAAAUAAGGACAUAGGGUGAAGAAGACGCAGCUGAGGAAGACUCUGCAGCCUUCAUCACCGACCACCAGGAGGUAGAAGGAUGACCCCCCUAGCAACAACCAGCGCAGGCACAGAGUACUCCGAGAUGAGGUGGACUCCUGAAGGAUGGAGAGGAUAAAAGGACUGAAUCAGAAACUAGCUGGGCAGCAGUUGGUGGAGCGGAAACUCCCCUGUCGCCCAGCGCUGAGCCUUUGCUUACCAUCUCCCAUCUGCGUGGCAAUGAAACAGCUUCAUAUAACUCAACAAAGGAGACAUUGAUUUAGUAAAGUCCUCCAAGAACCUCAUACGGUAUCCUACACCUGGCUCAGAAAUACGCCGUAAAGAGGAGGAGGUUUGUUAAUUCCCAAGCAGCUGUGAACAAUUUAAUCUCUUUGCAAACAGCCCAUCAUCCUAUUCCAAUUAAAGGACAUGAAACAAACAGGAAAUGUUGUGAAUGUUCUACAACUUCAGCUGGAAUAAAAAAAAAUAAACCAAAGGAACAAACCACUUCAGCUGAAAACCGACUAAUAUAAAUAAGGAAACAAUCAAAAACAGUUAAUAAAACUUCUGGUUUGGAUGACACAAUUGUUUUACACAGUGCUAAAAGAGUGUAUCUCUCAAGUGUGUGUAACAUGUUGCCAAACCACAGAAUAGUAUGCAGAAAUGAGCAGGGAUUUUCUAUUGGCAUAAGAAGUUUGAAGACACUUGGCUGGAUAAUGAAGAUCAAUCUUCUAUCAUGUGGAAAUUACCUAUUGCUUAUAAAGCACCUAUUACCUAAUCCUGCGAAGUACUUCAAGAAACACUCCAAAAGCAAGAAAAGAGAAUCUAAGACCACUGGUUGCACCUGUCUCUUUGCAUCCAGCCACGAAGAACAUCCUUCUGUUCUGGGCUGACACUGCCUGGGUUGACUCUGUUGAAUCUGCCAACAGAAUAAGGCUUAGCAAAUAGACUGGGGAAAGGAGAAUUCUGUCUCAGCUGUUUGCAGUCAUCUGAGAGCUUCUGGUGAUCCAUGCCACUCUGUGCUCACUGCAAAAUGCAUACACCUUGGGGGAAAAUAUUAGUAAUCUGGGCACAAGAGCUAAAAACUUUCCGGUAGAAUAAUCUGAAUCACAGAUUUGGCUUGGUUUCCUCAUGGAAGAAAUAGAAAGUCCCCUUGCUCUGUGAAAUCAACCAUCAUUCAACUAUUAUAUUUUUAAAGGACAUUCUCAGUAAACUGCAAAGAUGCCAAGACCGCUGCUGUGCCCUAAUGAUAUAUGUGAGACCUUAAUGUUGAUACAGAGCUCAGGGUCAUGAAGAUUUUCUAGGAGAGAGCAAGAACUCUAGAAAAUCUACCAUCACAUUAGUAAAAUUAACAAUGUUGAGGGGAACUCUUCUUGGACUCAUGACAACCAGUCUGACCCAUUAUAACUUAAAAGUCAUAACAGAGAGAAGUAAAAUUUCACCAUGGACAUUCCUCUCGAGUAAAGACCUCCCCCUGCCAAAAAAACCACCCCAAACAAACCCCACAGAAAUCCAGACCAAACAGAUGUCUCUUUUCUCCAUUAGCAUCCUGUCUUGCUUCUUUUGAACCACUGCUACUGCUGUAUCAGAGAACAUUUGAUACGGGGAUAUCAGGGUUGGGCUGGGUUAACCAAGAUGGAACAACAAUGAACUACAGGAAAAGGUGGAGGGCUGGAGCUGAAACACAAAAGGACAUUAAAUAGUUCUGAAAUUACUCCCACUCAGGUUGUGCUUUCCUCUAACAAUCCCUGUGUGCCCUCUAAAUUUGUUGGCAGCUAGCCAAGCCUUUAGAGCUCUAACACCAUCCUAUUGUCAAACUGUCUACAAUUCUCCAAAAUUUUGCUGAGAGGAGCAUUCAACAGAGAAAGAUAUGGUCUGGUUGCCUGCAGUUCUUCCCAUCAGCAGACACAGUGGAUAGAAAGAGUCACUGUAGGAGCAUUCCUGUAGCCCUGAUCCACUGAUGUUCCUUUGGCACAUGCAGGCAUAUUCAUGAGCUCUAUAUCCAAAACAGGUGAAUUAUUCUCAGCAGCAAAACUAAAUUUGAACUCUUGUCCUAGUAAAGGGCAGGAGUGGACAAGGUUCAGGGCAAGAACAUAUUUGUCACAGAAAAGGGAGAGGACAUGUAA